GACUCUGUAGCUCAGUUGGUUAGAGCGCUGCACUGGGAAUCACAGGGUUCGACUCCUGCUCGACUCCUGUCAGAGAGUCUAUAGUUGUGGUUGGAGCUUGACGUAGGUUCAAUUCCUACCAGAGGAC